GUACCUACGGGGGGCAGCAGUGGGGAAUAUUGGGCAAUGGGCGCAAGCCUGACCCAGCAACGCCGCGUGAAGGAAGAAGGCUUUCGGGUUGUAAACUUCUUUUGUCAGGGACGAAGCAAGUGACGGUACCUGACUAAGAAGCCCCGGCUAAAUACGUGCCAGCAGCCGCGGUAAUACGUAUGGGGCAAGCGUUAUCCGGAUUUACUGGGUGUAAAGGGAGCGUAGGCGGCCUGGCAAGCCUGAUGUGAAAUACCGGGGCCCAACCCCGGGGCUGCAUUGGGAACUGCCAGGCUGGAGUGCCGGAG
rnacentral:rRNA from 1 species